UACGGGGGGUGCGAGCGUUGUCCGGAUUCACUGGGCGUAAAGGGCGCGUAGUCGGCCGGGUCAGUCGGGCCUGUAAGUGCGGGGCUCAACCCCGUGAUGGGCUCGGGACGGCCCGGCUGGGGCGCGGUCGAGGGAGACGGAAUGCCGGGUGUAGUGGUGAAAUGCGUAGAGAUCCGGCGGAACACCGGUGGUGAAGACGGUCUCCUGGGCCGAGGGCCGACGCUGAGGCGCGAGAGCGUGGGGAGCGAACCGG
rnacentral:rRNA from 1 species